GCAUAUCAAUAAGCGGAGGAAAAGAAACCAACAGGGAUUGCCUUAGUAACGGCGAGUGAAGCGGCAACAGCUCAAAUUUGAAAUCUGGCUCCUUCGGGGCCCGAGUUGUAAUUUGCAGAGGAUGCUUCGAGUUUUGGUUCCUUCCGAGUUCCCUGGAACGGGACGCCAUAGAGGGUGAGAGCCCCGUCUGGUUGGAAACCAUGCUCAUGUGAAGCUCCCUCGACGAGUCGAGUAGUUUGGGAAUGCUGCUCUAAGGGGAGGUAUACUCCUUCCAAGGCUAAAUACCGGCUGGAGACCGAUAGCGCACAAGUAGAGUGAUCGAAAGAUGAAAAGUACUUUGAAAAGAGAGUCAAACAGCACGUGAAAUUGUUAAAAGGGAAGCGCUCGCUACCAGACGUGGGUUCGGUGGUUCAACCAGGUCCAUGACCUGGGGCACUCCGCCGGCCCAGGCCAGCAUCAGCUUUCCGUCGGGGGUAAAGACGUCGGGAAUGUGGCUCUCCUUCGGGGGAGUGUUAUAGCCCGUCGUGUCAUACCCUUCGGGGGGCUGAGGUACGCGCUCCGCAAGGAUGCUGGCGUAAUGGUAGCUAGUGACCCGUCUUGAAACACGGACCAAGGAGUCAACCUUAUGUGCGAGUGCCCGGGCGUAAAACCCCAGCGCGGAAUGAAAGUGAACGUAGGUGAGAGCUUCGGCGCAUCACCGACCGAUCCUGAUGUCCUCGGACGGAUUUGAGUGAGAGCAUAUAGGGUUGGACCCGAAAGAAGAUGAACUAUGCGUGUGUAGGGUGAAGCCAGAGGAAACUCUGGUGGAGGCUCGCAGCGGUUCUGACGUGCAAAUCGAUCGUCAAACAUGCGCAUGGGGGCGAAAGACUAAUCGAAUCUUCUGGUAGCUGGUUUCCGC
rnacentral:rRNA from 1 species